GACGAACGCUGGCGGCGUGCUUAACACAUGCAAGUCGAACGGAAAGGCUCCAGCUUGCUGGAGUACUCGAGUGGCGAACGGGUGAGUAACACGUGGGUAAUCUGCCCUGCACUCUGGGAUAAGCCUGGGAAACUGGGUCUAGUACUGGAUAUGACCUUUCUCCUUAUGGGGUUUGGUGGAAAGUUUUUCGGUGUAGGAUGAGCCCGCGGCCUAUCAGCUUGUUGGUGGGGUGAUGGCCUACCAAGGCGACGACGGGUAGCCGGCCUGAGAGGGUGAUCGGCCACAUUGGGACUGAGAUACGGCCCAGACUCCUACGGGAGGCAGCAGUGGGGAAUAUUGCACAAUGGGCGGAAGCCUGAUGCAGCGACGCCGCGUGAGGGAUGACGGCCUUCGGGUUGUAAACCUCUUUCAGCAGGGACGAAGCGUAAGUGACGGUACCUGCAGAAGAAGCACCGGCUAACUAUGU
rnacentral:rRNA from 1 species